rnacentral:rRNA from 1 species
GACGUAGGGCGCGAGCGUUGUCCGGAUUUAUUGGGCGUAAAGAGCUCGUAGGCGGCUUGUCGCGUCGAAUGUGAAAUCUCAGGGCUCAACUCUGACAUUGCAUUCGAUACGGGCAGGCUAGAGUUCGGUAGGGGAGACUGGAAUUCCUGGUGUAGCGGUGAAAUGCGCAGAUAUCAGGAGGAACACCGGUGGCGAAGGCGGCUUGCUGGGCCUUACCUGACGCUGAGGAGCGAAAGCGUGGGGAGCGAACAGG